rnacentral:lncRNA from 1 species
UUGGAGAUGUUGAUUUAGUACAUCUGGAGUGGAACCGGGUAAUAUAUUCUUUUUUUAAGCCUCUUAUCUAAUUCUGGUUAGAGAUCAACUGUCUCAGACUGUCUCUCCCAGCUCUUGGUCAUCUCCUCCAUGAUUUUGUCAGGGGCUAAACAUUACCCAAUUUAAGGUAAGCUAAAGAGUAUUCCUGUUACAGAUAGAAAAAAAAAAAAGUUCAUGGGUAGCAGUUCCCAGAAGGUGGGUAUGAAAAGCCUAGCUCUCUCCCUAAUGGAGAAAAGCAAAUCUCACCAUCCAUUAUUCACAGAGACUUUUUGUAGUUCCCUGAAGCAAGGCUGUUUUACCCUGCCCAACUUGGGAAGCAUUCUCCUUGGUUCACGCUAAUGGAAAAUGGAGGAGAAAAUGGUUUAUAGACUAUUCUUGCUGAGACAACCGUCUGGGUGACCCAAAACAAAAAUCAACUAAUCAAUCCCAAGGCUUCCUACACAUUGACUGGAAAUCUACCCCCACAACUUGAUGUGGGAGGGAAACACCCAAGUUCCCAGAAAAUCCCAUUUAUCCAUAAGACCCUUCUCCUCAUUAUUUCAGCCUCCCUAGGGAUAGACACUAAGGUGUUACAGCUCUGGUCCAUUGCAUGAAGAGUUAUCCAGGGCCUGGAAGAUGUUCAUGGUGGCAUCAACUGACCACCUCAGUCAUAAAUGGUCCUGGAAAUCCGACUUGGAUCAGUACUGCCUUCUGAUCAAAACUUAGAUGAUCAGUGAUAUCCAAGGUCCCUAAUAACUACUGGAUUCUCAGAUUCCAGUGUGUGAGCAUGAGACAAUGAAGGCAAAUGGGUAGGACCUGGCACACACACAUCCCAAGCACUGUCACGAAAGGAGGAUUCACACAUAUCAACAUAAAGUCUGAGACCAAAGCAAAGAAAUAGCACCUGA